rnacentral:rRNA from 1 species
UAUCCUGAUGCAUUUGCGGGAUGGAAUUUAUUGUGUAGUUAUGGUUCGUAUUUAUCAAUUUUAGCAAGUCUUUUCUUUUUCUACGUGGUGUAUGCCACAGUAACACAAGGUGAAAAAUGUGUUAUGAAUCCAUGGGCAGUCAAUGGUGAAUUGACAACUUCCACAUUGGAGUGGACGGUGGCGUCGCCUCCAGCUUUUCAUACUUUUGAGGAAAUUCCUGCGAUUAAGGAGUCUUCUUCUCAGACCGUGUUAAAGUAAUUGGUUGUCGGGUUUCAAGUUCGAGGGUCUACUUUGAUGGACCCUCUUCUUGACGUGGAGUAUAGUCUAUAUAUUUUUUUGUCUAAAUUUCAGAGAGUGCGCUAACGCAUGAAAUCAGCCGCCUGGGGACUACGGCCGCAAGGCUAAAACCCAAAGGAAUUGACGGGGGCUUACACAAGCGGUGGAGCAUGUGGUUUAAUUCGAAACAACGCGCAAAACCUUACCAAUCCUUGACAUAUGAAAAACCAGAGUGUUUACUUGCUCUGUUUCUUUUAUACAGGUGCUGCAUGGCUGUCGUCAGUUCGUGGUGUGAGCUGUUGGGUUAAGUCCCAGAACGAACGCAACCCUCCUUUGAAAUGAAGGGUCUCCUUUUUCAAAGACUGCCAAGGAUAUCUUGGAGGAAGGUGAGGACGACGUCAAGUCCGCAUGGCCCUUAUGGGUUGGGCUACACACGUGCUACAAUGGGAAUGACAAAAGGAGGCAACAUGGCAACAUUGAGCAAACCCAAAAAAGUUCCCUGAGUUCGGAUUGUUCUCUGCAACUCGAGAACAUGAAGUUGGAAUCGCAAGUAAUCGUAGAUCAGCACGCUACGGUGAAUUUGUAUCUAAGCCUUGUACACACCGCCCGUCACA